rnacentral:rRNA from 1 species
GAUGAACGCUGGCGGCGUGCCUAAUACAUGCAAGUCGAACGAAACUUCUUUAUCACCGAGUGCUUGCACUCACCGAUAAAGAGUUGAGUGGCGAACGGGUGAGUAACACGUGGGCAACCUGCCCAAAAGAGGGGGAUAACACUUGGAAACAGGUGCUAAUACCGCAUAACCAUAGUUACCGCAUGGUACCUAUGUAAAAGGUGGCUAUACUACCGCUUUUGGAUGGGCCCGCGGCGCAUUAGCUAGUUGGUAGGGUAAAGGCUUACCAAGGCAAUGAUGCGUAGCCGAAUUGAGAGGUUGAUCGGCCACAUUGGGACUGAGAAACGGCCCAAACUCCUACGGGAGGCAGCAGUAGGGAAUCUUCCACAAUGGGCGAAAGCCUGAUGGAGCAACGCCGCGUGGGUGAAGAAGGUCUUCGGAUCGUAAAACCCUGUUGUUAGAGAAGAAAGUGCGUGAGAGUAACUGUUCACGUUUCGACGGUAUCUAACCAGAAAGCCACUGAUAACUACGUG